UCACAACAUGCAGACAUUUAAGUCGAGAGACUGGGACUUCAGGCCCUAAUGGCAGCUAUAAUUUGGAAGUCAAAUGCAGCAGGGAGCUCUUAGAGCUGAUGCAUGAUUCCUGCAUACAGGCAGCCAAGGUGAGAUUGGGGCCUGCCUGCUGCGGAAGUGAGGAACAGACGUUGGAGCAGGAGAGAUGGAUGAGGAGAGUCCGGUCUACGUGUUCAAGGAAGCGAAGGGAUGAAGACUCACCUGGUGUGGAGAAGAACAAAGAAAUCCUGAAAAUGUUCAUUGGUUUGGCAGUGGAGGGAUGGCCACACACGCUCCUGUUAGACUGGGUAAUGGGGCAGCUCUUUCUUGGGGGAUGAGCAAUCGGGGACAGUGGCAGGCCCUGUCUUGGGGUCCACAGUGCUAUUUCCAAGGGUAGCAGUAGCUUCCUGGAAGCUGCGGUCUGAGCUGUGCUCCUGGCUGUGAUGUUCUCUUCCCACCCAUGGGUGCCACUCACGCAGGACCCUGCUCUUGCCAUAUCUGCCCUGGAUGCACGUUUCGGCCACGUGCCGCCUGGAAGCAAAGGAUGUAGGUCAGCAUUCAUGGGAGCAGACAGAGAUGGCCCAGGCUACAGGUCCCGGCUGCCCAUUGGAGAACGCAGCUUGGAAAGUACACGCUGAUGUGGCCGCUGAGAACCAACACCCCUUUGACCAUGAGGUCAGACCCCUCUCGGAAGAAGAGAAACUGAGACGCUUGUGAUGGGAGAGCUGCCAUGAGCUGGCUUGGGGCACGGGGGUGGGGAGGAGACGUCAGGAAAACUCUAAAAUUUCUGCAGCAUGUUUUGCUUUUGCUCACCUAGAUUUAGAGGAAUCCUCUGGGAAAAUGAAACUGAAAUCUUACUUCCCCACUGGCAGCCUCCUGGUGGCCACAGGAUAUGGACUUGACUUUGGUUAUAGGCGUGUCAGUGGUUUCCACUGCAUGGUGAUUGUUGGGGGUCAGAUUUGCCAAGGCAUAACUUAUGUACAAUAAAACCCACCAAUUUUA
rnacentral:lncRNA from 1 species